AAAUGACUCUCGGCAACGGAUAUCUCGGCUCUUGCAUCGAUGAAGAACGUAGCGAAAUGCGAUACUUGGUGUGAAUUGCAGAAUCCCGUGAACCAUCGAGUCUUUGAACGCAAGUUGCGCCCAAAGCCAUUAGGCUGAGGGCACGCCUGCCUGGGUGUCACA
rnacentral:rRNA from 1 species